CCUACGGGAGGCAGCAGUGAGGAAUAUUGGUCAAUGGACGAGAGUCUGAACCAGCCAAGUAGCGUGAAGGAUGACUGCCCUAUGGGUUGUAAACUUCUUUUAUAAAGGAAUAAAACGAGGCACGUGUGCCUUUUUGCAUGUACUUUAUGAAUAAGGAUCGGCUAACUCCGUGCCAGCAGCCGCGGUAAUACGGAGGAUCCGAGCGUUAUCCGGAUUUAUUGGGUUUAAAGGGAGCGUAGAUGGGUUGUUAAGUCAGUUGUGAAAGUUUGCGGCUCAACCAUAAAAUUGCAAUUGAUACUGGCAGUCUUGAGUACAGUUGAGGUAGGCGGAAUUCGUGGUGUAGCGGUGAAAUGCUUAGAUAUUACGAAGAACUCCGAUUGCGAAGGCAGCUUACUAAACUGCCACUGACAUUGAUGCUCGAAAGUGUGGGUAGCAAACAGGAUUAGAUACCCUUGUAGUC
rnacentral:rRNA from 1 species